ACCUGGAAAACCUGUAAGACUUGCUGACACUCCCGCUCUGCUCCAGAUGUAAUGUGCGGAGUCCGUCCGAGGCGUUGAGAGAAGAGAUUGCAAGCGACAGAACGCAAAGGGCCUAUAACGCAUCCUCGGUUUAUUGGGCUGCACAAUCCACGCUAUGCCCGUAGUUUCCAAUGAGGGGGAGGAGUGGGACGAGAAGCUUCCUCCGUACCAGGAUCAGCCUCCGCCAUACCAGGAUCAGCCUCAGAGGGUCCAGGUGACCGAGAGCAGGAGUGACCGUGACAGCGAAGGCAGUAGCAAGUGCCCCAAAUGCUGCCUUAAGACGCGCAACUGCCUCAUGAGCGCCGAAUGCGGCCGGGCGCUGCAGAUCUCCAGUGUAAUCGCCAUGUGUGGAAUGUGCCUCCGCUUCUUUGUCUAAUCUCCAAUCCCGACCCAACUUUUCCAGGCCACAUUGACUCCUCCGCGGUCCUUCAAUAUCUUGCAAAGGAUCUAUUGCUUUUAGGGUGCCAAAUGCGAUCGUACAUUCAUUAUGUAUGCUAUGAGAAUGAGUGGUGAGGUUGUGCUGUUGUGAAUUUAAAUCAGUUUCUUAAUAAUAUAUCAUUGUUUUUAAAGACAAAGCUUGUGUGAUGUAUUGUACUUUGAAAUAAAAUACAAUGGAAAAAAAGAC